rnacentral:rRNA from 1 species
UAUAACGAGCUUAAGCUUAAAACCCAAAGGACUUGACGGUGUCCCACCCACCUAGAGGAGCCUGUUCUAUAAUCGACACUCCCCGCUUCACCUCACCAUUUUUAGCCUCUCAGCCUGUAUACCUCCGUCGCAAGCUUACCCUAUGAACGUAUUAGUAAGCCCAAAGGUUCACCCACCAGCACGUCAGGUCAAGGUGCAGCUCAUAAAAUGGAAAGCAAUGGGCUACAAUUUCUAGUAUAGAAUAAACGAAAAACUGUAUGAAACACAGUAAUGAAGGCGGAUUUAGUAGUAAAAAGAAAAUAGUGUGUUCUUUUUAAUCAGGCUCUGGGACGCGUACACACCGCCCGUCACCC